UGUCACUGAAGUACAGAAAGACACAAACUUUCACUGUGGUGUUUCAUACUAAACAACACAGACAGUUUCUUCUUAUCUUCAAGAUGGUGUCAAUGCAAUUAAGUCUGUUUUCAACUUUGUUUCUGAUCACACUAACAGGUGUCAGCUGUCAAGAACUCACUCCAGUCAACAAUGAAGAGAACAGUUUAGAAGGCAGCACUGUUACUCUGUCCUACAACUACUCCAAAAAAGCUGAUGGCAAUGAUAAUUUCUUCUGGUAUCGACAAUAUCCAGGAAAACCACCAGAGUUCCUCAUGUACAUCUCAGGGCUAAAUCAAACGAGACCAGCAGAUUCUCUGAAGUCAGAAACAAGAUUCUUUACUGAUCUGUUUGAAGACAAGCGUGGAGUCAAACUGCAGAUCUCCUCUGCUGCAGUGUCUGACUCUGCUGUGUACUACUGUGCUCUGCAGCCCACAGUGACA